rnacentral:rRNA from 1 species
UGCUCGGAAUCACUGGGCGUAAAGCGCACGUAGGCGGAUUGCUAAGUCAGGGGUGAAAUCCUGGAGCUCAACUCCAGAACUGCCUUUGAUACUGGCGAUCUCGAGUCCGGGAGAGGUGAGUGGAACUGCGAGUGUAGAGGUGAAAUUCGUAGAUAUUCGCAAGAACACCAGUGGCGAAGGCGGCUCACUGGCCCGGUACUGACGCUGAGGUGCGAAAGCGUGGGGAGCAAACAGG